rnacentral:tRNA from 1 species
CAAGACGUAGCUUUAACAAAAGCAUUCAGCUUACACCUGAAAGAUAUCUGAUAAGACCGGAUCGUCUUGA